AGGACGAACGCUGGCGGCAUGCCUAACACAUGCAAGUCGAACGGAAGUAGAAAUACUUUAGUGGCGAACGGGUGAGUAACACGUGAGCAACCUGCCUUACACACAGGGAUAACAGUUGGAAACGACUGCUAAUACCGGAUAAGACCACACUAUGGCAUCAUAGAGGGGUCAAAGUGAUUUAGCGGUGUAAGAUGGGCUCGCGUCCAAUUAGCUAGUUGGUGAGGUAACGGCCCACCAAGGCGACGAUUGGUAGCCGACUUGAGAGAGUGAUCGGCCACACUGGAACUGAGACACGGUCCAGACUCCUACGGGAGGCAGCAGUGGGGAAUAUUGGGCAAUGGAGGAAACUCUUUAACCCCCAGCAAUGCCGCGUGAGUGAUGAAGGUCUUUGGAUUGUAAAGCUCUUUGAUUGGGGACGAAUAAAUGACGGUACCCAAAGAACAAGCCCCGGCUAACUAUGUGCCAGCCGCAGC
rnacentral:rRNA from 1 species